UACAGAGGGUGCAAGCGUUUAAUCGGAAUUACUGGGCGUAAAGCGUGCGUAGACGGUUGCGUAAGUCAGAUGUGAAAGCCCCGGGCUCAACCUGGGAAUUGCAUUUGAGACUGCGUAGCUAGGGUGCGGAAGAGGGAAGCGGAAUUUCCGGUGUAGCGGUGAAAUGCGUAGAUAUCGUGAGGAAUACCAGUGGCGAAAGCGACAUCCUGGCAUUAGCCUGACGCUCAUGUGCGAAAGCGUGGGGAGCGAACGGG
rnacentral:rRNA from 1 species